UUCCAUAGAAAGUAAUUCUCCUUUUUCUUUCUUUUUGUCUGGAAGGCCUGGAACUGGGAAAACCGCUUUAGUGGAAGUUCUUCUUAAAAGUUUAAGCACUAAAUUUAAGUUUUUGCACUUCGUAAACGUAAACUGCUUGGAAGUUUCAGACUCUGUAAAUUUUCUGCAAGCUAUCCUUUCUGGCUGUGGCGUUAAAAAACAAAUAAGUUUAAUUGAUGUAG